GACGGAAGGUGCAAGCGUUGCUCGGAAUCACUGGGCGUAAAGGGUGCGUAGGCGGCCGUGCAAGUCUGGCGUGAAAGCCCCGGGCUCAGCCCGGGAAGUGCGCUCGAAACUGCGCGGCUCGAGUGCCGGGAGGGGAGAGUGGAAUUCCUGGUGUAGCGGUGAAAUUCGUAGAUAUUCGGAGGAACACCAGUGGCGAAGGCGGCUCACUGGUCCAUUACUGACGCUGAGGUGCGAAAAGCGUGGGGAGCAAACAGGG
rnacentral:rRNA from 1 species